AUUGAACGCUGGCGGCAUGCCUUACACAUGCAAGUCGAACGGUAACAGGUCUUCGGAUGCUGACGAGUGGCGAACGGGUGAGUAAUACAUCGGAACGUGCCUAGUAGUGGGGGAUAACUACUCGAAAGAGUGGCUAAUACCGCAUGAGAUCUACGGAUGAAAGCAGGGGAUCGCAAGACCUUGCGCUACUAGAGCGGCCGAUGGCAGAUUAGGUAGUUGGUGGGAUAAAAGCUUACCAAGCCGACGAUCUGUAGCUGGUCUGAGAGGACGAUCAGCCAAACUGGGACUGAGACACGGCCCAGACUCCUACGGGAGGCAGCAGUGGGGAAUUUUGGACAAUGGGCGCAAGCCUGAUCCAGCAAUGCCGCGUGCAGGAUGAAGGCCUUCGGGUUGUAAACUGCUUAUGUACGGAACGAAAAGCCCCGGGUUAAUACCCUGGGGUCAUGACGGUACCGUAAGAAUAAGCACCGGCUAACUACGUGCCAGCAGCCGCCGUAA
rnacentral:rRNA from 1 species